AAGGUAAUAAUCCUGUAGUCGAAAAUGUUGUCUCUCUUGAGUGGAUCCUGAGUACGACGGAGCACGUGAAAUUCCGUCGGAAUCUGGGAGGACCAUCUCCUAAGGCUAAAUACUCUCUAGUGACCGAUAGUGAACCAGUACCGUGAGGGAAAGGUGAAAAGCACCCCGGAAGGGGAGUGAAAUAGAACCUGAAACCGUGUGCUUACAAGUAGUCAGAGCCCGUUAAUGGGUGAUGGCGUGCCUUUUGUAGAAUGAACCGGCGAGUUACGAUUUGAUGCAAGGUUAAGCAGUAAAUGUGGAGCCGUAGCGAAAGCGAGUCUGAAUAGGGCGUUUAGUAUUUGGUCGUAGACCCGAAACCAGGUGAUCUACCCUUGGUCAGGUUGAAGUUCAGGUAACACUGAAUGGAGGACCGAACCGACUUACGUUGAAAAGUGAGCGGAUGAACUGAGGGUAGCGGAGAAAUUCCAAUCGAACCUGGAGAUAGCUGGUUCUCUCCGAAAUAGCUUUAGGGCUAGCCUCAAGUGAUGAUUAUUGGAGGUAGAGCACUGUUUGGACGAGGGGCCCCUCUCGGGUUACCGAAUUCAGACAAACUCCGAAUGCCAAUUAAUUUAACUUGGGAGUCAGAACAUGGGUGAUAAGGUCCGUGUUCGAAAGGGAAACAGCCCAGACCACCAGCUAAGGUCCCAAAAUAUAUGUUAAGUGGAAAAGGAUGUGGCGUUGCCCAGACAACUAGGAUGUUGGCUUAGAAGCAGCCAUCAUUUAAAGAGUGCGUAAUAGCUCACUAGUCGAGUGACACUGCGCCGAAAAUGUACCGGGGCUAAACAUAUUACCGAAGCUGUGGAUUGUCCUUUGGACAAUGGUAGGAGAGCGUUCUAAGGGCGUUGAAGCAUGAUCGUAAGGACAUGUGGAGCGCUUAGAAGUGAGAAUGCCGGUGUGAGUAGCGAAAGACGGGUGAGAAUCCCGUCCACCGAUUGACUAAGGUUUCCAGAGGAAGGCUCGUCCGCUCUGGGUUAGUCGGGUCCUAAGCUGAGGCCGACAGGCGUAGGCGAUGGAUAACAGGUUGAUAUUCCUGUACCACCUAUAAUCGUUUUAAUCGAUGGGGGGACGCAGUAGGAUAGGCGAAGCGUGCGAUUGGAUUGCACGUCUAAGCAGUAAGGCUGAGUAUUAGGCAAAUCCGGUACUCGUUAAGGCUGAGCUGUGAUGGGGAGAAGACAUUGUGUCUUCGAGUCGUUGAUUUCACACUGCCGAGAAAAGCCUCUAGAUAGAAAAUAGGUGCCCGUACCGCAAACCGACACAGGUAGUCAAGAUGAGAAUUCUAAGGUGAGCGAGCGAACUCUCGUUAAGGAACUCGGCAAAAUGACCCCGUAACUUCGGGAGAAGGGGUGCUCUUUAGGGUUAACGCCCAGAAGAGCCGCAGUGAAUAGGCCCAAGCGACUGUUUAUCAAAAACACAGGUCUCUGCUAAACCGUAAGGUGAUGUAUAGGGGCUGACGCCUGCCCGGUGCUGGAAGGUUAAGAGGAGUGGUUAGCUUCUGCGAAGCUACGAAUCGAAGCCCCAGUAAACGGCGGCCGUAACUAUAACGGUCCUAAGGUAGCGAAAUUCCUUGUCGGGUAAGUUCCGACCCGCACGAAAGGCGUAACGAUUUGGGCACUGUCUCAACGAGAGACUCGGUGAAAUCAUAGUACCUGUGAAGAUGCAGGUUACCCGCGACAGGACGGAAAGACCCCGUGGAGCUUUACUGUAGCCUGAUAUUGAAAUUCGGCACAGCUUGUACAGGAUAGGUAGGAGCCUUUGAAACGUGAGCGCUAGCUUACGUGGAGGCGCUGGUGGGAUACUACCCUAGCUGUGUUGGCUUUCUAACCCGCACCACUUAUCGUGGUGGGAGACAGUGUCAGGCGGGCAGUUUGACUGGGGCGGUCGCCUCCUAAAAGGUAACGGAGGCGCUCAAAGGUUCCCUCAGAAUGGUUGGAAAUCAUUCAUAGAGUGUAAAGGCAUAAGGGAGCUUGACUGCGAGACCUACAAGUCGAGCAGGGUCGAAAGACGGACUUAGUGAUCCGGUGGUUCCGCAUGGAAGGGCCAUCGCUCAACGGAUAAAAGCUACCCCGGGGAUAACAGGCUUAUCUCCCCCAAGAGUUCACAUCGACGGGGAGGUUUGGCACCUCGAUGUCGGCUCAUCGCAUCCUGGGGCUGUAGUCGGUCCCAAGGGUUGGGCUGUUCGCCCAUUAAAGCGGUACGCGAGCUGGGUUCAGAACGUCGUGAGACAGUUCGGUCCCUAUCCGUCGUGGGCGUAGGAAAUUUGAGAGGAGCUGUCCUUAGUACGAGAGGACCGGGAUGGACAUACCUCUGGUGUACCAGUUGUCGUGCCAACGGCAUAGCUGGGUAGCUAUGUGUGGACGGGAUAAGUGCUGAAAGCAUCUAAGCAUGAAGCCCCCCUCAAGAUGAGAUUUCCCAACUUCGGUUAUAAGAUCCCUCAA
rnacentral:rRNA from 1 species